rnacentral:tRNA from 1 species
ACUAUUUUGGCAGAUUAGUGCAAUAAAUUUAGAAUUUAUAAAUAUAAUUAAUAAUUAUAAAUAGUAU